GUCUGGCCAGUUUGCUGUGAGAGCCAACCUAGGACAAGUGGUUGCCGUUAAGGUUGAGCCGCCAACAGGAAAGACCAAGGCACACGACCAACAAGUUCUCCAGCCAUUCCACGGGUACCAACUUUUCACUAGAUCAGCUGGUUUGAUUCCUCCAGGCCCACGAAACAAGUCGAACCCUAAAGUUUCAGCUGUCAAGGCAGUGGGAGCCAGAUUACAGCAGCACUGCAGCAAAGGACCGUAAGUGGGCUUCUCUCCCCAUUCCGGACAGCAGCUGACUGCUCUCUGAAAUCUGGCCGGUCCGUUCACAGUACAGAGCGGAGAGUUAAUCAGCAAACUCAUCAGGGAACAGAGUGCUUAAACCGAGCUUUUAGCCAUUGCAAGGAAACAGUUGGCAGAAAGGUGACAUUUACGGCAGUCGUUUGAGGGCCAGAGGCGAUCGAAUUGGCUCUGCAACAAAGCCUGAUGGAAUCACAGAACACACUCGAAAAUAGUCAAAUUCAGUAAGAGAUGCCUUCAGGACUGAGAUCCCAUCCAUCCCAAUAAAUACCCUUCUCCGUGUUACAGCUGGAAUGGGGGUCAAAGAACAUGGGCAGUGCAACUGAUUUUCUUCGGUCUCACUGCGAAAAGUCUCCAGGAUAUACACUUCACCCAUCAUUUGUUUAAAUGGAAAUAAUGGUAGGAGAAUGAAGAAUCAGGGCAGGUCUGGCAUGCGGUGUAACAAAAAGUGUGU